rnacentral:snoRNA from 13 species
UAACCCUUAUUCACUUUGUCAAUUGGGCUUUUAUGUUUUCUGUGGUCAUGUGAUUGGGGCAAACUAACUAUCCUUUCUAAAUUCAGGAAACUGAGUAUUUGUAUUAUAAUCUGUCAGAGGAAAGAAAC